rnacentral:rRNA from 1 species
CCUACGGGGGGCAGCAGUGGGGAAUAUUGGACAAUGGGGGGAACCCUGAUCCAGCCAUGCCGCGUGUGUGAAGAAGGCCCUCGGGUUGUAAAGCACUUUCAGUGAGGAAGAACGCCUGGUGGUUAAUACCCAUCAGGAAAGACAUCACUCACAGAAGAAGCACCGGCUAACUCCGUGCCAGCAGCCGCGGUAAUACGGAGGGUGCGAGCGUUAAUCGGAAUUACUGGCGUAAAGCGCGCGUAGGUGGCUUGAUAAGCCGGUUGUGAAAGCCCCGGGCUCAACCUGGGAACGGCAUCCGGAACUGUCAAGCUAGAGUGCAGGAGAGGAAGGUAGAAUUCCCGGUGUAGCGGUGAAAUGCGUAGAGAUCGGGAGGAAUACCAGUGGCGAAGGCGGCCUUCUGGACUGACACUGACACUGAGGUGCGAAAGCGUGGGUAGCAAACAGGAUUAGAUACCCUUGUAGUC